UCCUGCCAGUAGUCAUACGCUCACAUAAAAGAUUAAGCCAUGCAAGUGCCAGUACAAAUGACUCUGUACAGUGAAACUGCGAAUGGCUCAUUAAAUCAGUUAUAGUUUACUUGAUAGUCUCUUACUACUUGGAUAACCGUGGUAAUUCUAGAGCUAAUACAUGCAUAAAUGCCCGACUUCUGGAAGGGCUGUUGUUAUUAGAUUAAAACCAAUGGUGGCAACACCUCACUUGGUGAUUCAUAGUAACUCUCGAAUCGCAUGUCCUCGCGACGGCGAUGUAUCAUUCAAAUUUCUGCCCUAUCAACUUGAUUGUAGUUUAUUGGACUACAAUGGUUAUAACGGGUAACGGGGAAUAAGGGUUCGAUUCCGGAGAAGGAGCCUGAGAAACGGCUCCUACAUCCAAGGAAGGCAGCAGGCGCGCAAAUUACCCAAUGCCGACUCGGCGAGGUAGUGACAAUACAUAACGAUACAGGGCCUUCGUGGUCCUGUAAUUGGAAUGAGUACAAUCUAAAUCUCUUAACGAGGAACAAUUGGAGGGCAAGCUUGGUGCCAGCAGCCGCGGUAAUUCCAACUCCAAUAGCGUAUAUUAAAGUUGUUGCGUUAGAAACGCGCGUAGUUGAAUUUGGGCACAGACUGGCUGUCCGCUUAACGGCGUGCACGGCCAGGUUGUGUCGAACUUCCUGCCAAUCUGGUCUUCUCUUCACCGAGUGGGCCAGAGCGACAGGACUUUUACUUUGAAAAAAUUAGAGUGUUUAAAGCAGGCGUUCGCUUGAAUACAUUAGCAUGGAAUAAUAGAAUAGGACUUUGGUUCUAUUUUGUUGGUUUCUAGGACCGAGGUAAUGAUUAAUAGGGACAGUCGGGGGCAUUAGUAUUUCAGAGUCAGAGGUGAAAUUCUUGGAUUUCUGAAAGACUAACUACUGCGAAAGCAUUUGCCAAGGAUGUUUUCAUUAACCAAGCACGAAAGUCAGGGGAUCAAAAAUGAUUAGAUACCGUUGUAGUCUUGACCAUAAACUAUGCCGACUCGGGAUUGGUGGAACGUAAUUAUACGCGUCCAUCAGCACCGUACGAGAUAUCAAAGUGUUUGGGUUACGGGGGGAGUACAUUCGCAAGGCUGAAACUUAAAGAAAUUGACGGAAGAGCACAACAAGGCGUGGAAUAUGCGGCUUAAUUUGACUCAACACGGGGAAACUUACCAGGUCCAGACUUAAUAAGGAUUGACAGAUUGAGAGCUCUUUCUUGAUUUUAAGGGGUGUGGUGCAUGGCCGUUCUUAGUUGGUGGAGUGAUUUGUCUGCUUAAUUGCGAUAACGAACGAGACCUUUUCCUGCUAAAUAGACUCACUCAGCCUUGCUGGGUGCAGCCUUCUUAGAGGGACUUUUGAUGUUUAAUCAAAGGAAGCUUGAGGCAAUAACAGGUCUGUGAUGCCCUUAGAUGUUCUGGGCCGCACGCGCGUUACACUGAUGAAGUCAACGAGUUUAUUCCUUGGCUGAAAAGUCUGGGUAAUCUUUUUAAACUUCAUCGUGCUGGGGAUAGAGCAUUGCAAUUAUUGCUCUUCAACGAGGAAUGCCUAGUAAGCGCAAGUCAUCAGCUUGCGUUGAUUACGUCCCUGCUCUUUGUACACACCGCCCGUCGCUACUACCGAUGAAUGGCUUAGUGAGGCCUUGGGAUUGAGUGUCUGUCUGGCAACAGACGUGUCACUUGAGAACUUGGUCAAACUUGGUCAUUUAGAGGAAGUAAAAGUCGUAACAAGGUAUCCGUAGGUGAACCUGCGGAUGGAUCAUUACUAAAUCUGUCGUGCGUAUGACUCUGCAUUCUUGAAUGCGUCUCAUUCCACUUCAAAUUACUCAUCAUUGUGAACUGUUGCUARUGUGUAUGCRRUCACCUUUUUGGUGACGCGUGCCAUUAGUCUUUUAUUAAACUAAAACUUUUAAACUAAAGAUCUCUGCACAAACUUAGUGUUGUGUCAACUAAAAACUAAAACUUUUAGCAACGGAUCUCUAGGCUCUCGCAGCGAUGAAGAACGCAGCGAAUUGCGAAAUGUAAUGUGAAUUGCAUUUACCGCGAAUCAUUAAAUCUUUGAAUGCACUUUGCACUGCUGUGWAUUCACGGCAGUACGCCUGUUUGAGCAUCAAUAUCAAAUUUCUCACUUUUAUAUAGUGAUUGUGAAGUACUGGAUACAGUACUUUUGAGUUUACACAAACUGUUCGUGUUGAUACAACAGUUGGCAAUAUCUAUAUCGAUCUUGUCAACUCUAAUCAACCGUACGCGUGUUUAUUGAGCUCUGACUGCUCUCUCAUUACAUUGAUCUCAAAUCAGGCGAGAAUACCCGCUGAACUUAAGCAUAUUAAUAAGCGGAGGAAAAGAAACUAACAAGGAUUCCCUCAGUAACUGCGAGUGAAGCGGGACCAGCUCAAAUUUAAAAUCUCGCAAGAGAAUUGUAGUUUAGAGAAGUGUACACGAUGACGCGGCGCGUUAAAGUCUCCUGGAAUGGAGCGUCAUAGAGGGUGAGAAUCCCGUUGAUAAUGCGCCGUCAUGUCACAAUUCGUUGCAUCUUCCAAGAGUCGGAUUGUUUGGGAAUGCAGUCCAAAAUGGGUGGUAUAUUUCAUCCAAAGCUAAAUACCGGCGAGAGACCGAUAGCGAACAAGUACCGUGAGGGAAAGAUGAAAAGAACUUUGAAAAGAAAGUUAAACAGUACGUGAAAUUGCUAAAAGGGAAACAUUUGCAAUCAGUGUUGCGGCAGUCAAGCAAUUGGCUGUCGUGGGUCAAUAUUUACGCGUGGUGAAGUAGAUCAGUUCGAGAAGGUGACUGUCACUUCGGUGUCAGUGUUAUAGCUCGGGCGACCACUUCAUUGCGCGUAAAGGCAUGCAAUGUAUUUUGGAUGAACACUGUCCUGUUUGAGAGUAGAUUGGUAAACUGCGUGMAGAUUGCUUUUCGAUUUCAGGCAUGAUGGUGGUAGUACUCAUACAUUCAGGAUAUUGACGAAAUGGUUGUAAAUGACCCGUCUUGAAACACGGACCAAGGAGUCUAACAAAUAUGCAAGUGUUAGAGUUGUAAACUCUGGCGCGAAAUGAAAGUGAACGUUGGUGGGAUCUCUCACGAGUGCACCAUCGACCGAUCUGGAUUUUUAAUGAAAGAUUUGAGUCUGAGCAUAUUUGCUGGGACCCGAAAGAUGGUGAACUAUGCCUGAAUAGGGUGAAGCCAGAGGAAACUCUGGUGGAAGCUCGUAGCGGUACUGACGUGCAAAUCGUUCGUCAAAUUUGGGUAUAGGGGCGAAAGACUAAUCGAACCAUCUAGUAGCUGGUUCCCUCCGAAGUUUCUCUCAGGAUAGCUGAGACUGUUACGCAGUUAGAUCAGGUAAAGCGAAUGAUUAGAGGCCUUGGGGAAUUAAACUUCCUCAACCUAUUCUCAAACUUUAAAUAGGUCUGAAGUCAACGUUACUUAACUGAACGUUUGACAUUCGAAUGCAAGUCUCAAGUGGGCCAUUUUUGGUAAGCAGAACUGGCGAUGCGGGAUGAACCGAACGUCGAGUUAAGGUGCCGGAAUACACGCUCAUUUAGAUCCCAUAAAAGUUGUCGGUACAUCUAGACAGCAGGACGGUGGUCAUGGAAGUUGAAAUCCGCUAAGGAGUGUGUAACAACUCACCUGCCGAAUGUACCGACGCUGAAAAUGGAUGGCGCUUAAGCGUGUUACCCAUACUCGACCGUCAAGGGCAGCACCUUUGACGAGUAGGAGGGCGUGAAGGUUGUGAAGAAGUCUAGACUGUGAAGUCGGAUUGAACAGCCUUUAGUGCAGAUCUUGGUGGUAGU
rnacentral:rRNA from 1 species